CCGAUGACAAAGGAAAAUCAAAGGACGUUGUUGGAAAUAUAUAAAAAUAGUAACGUCUUAUUCGAGAAUUUUUCACUCAUGAUGACGGGGACAGUCACGCUAUAUUUGGAUGUGAAUGCCAGAUGUAGGAUAACAGAGUUAACUUUUAAUCAUUGUUUGGAGGAUGUAUCCAUAUUCACAGAUUAAAAGUGAAGAUAACAGACAGUGAUCAAUCUCACAACUCCUGUAAGCGACCCCUGGACACCCCAGAGGUGGGAUCAAGUGCUUGGAAGGAGUAAACAUCCCUAGUCUUUCGGUGAUGCAGUGGAACAUGGGAUUCCUCGUUAGAUAUGCCCAAUAGAAGGGAGAGAACAUUAUAAUUCAUAUUUCGUGUAUUUACGAACUAUUUCUAGAAUGAACAAGAAACUAUCAAGGAUAUUAAUGGAGAUGAAAGUAAUGGGGUAACAAUAAAUACAUAUACAAACUCUC